CCCUUAGAUGUUCUGGGCCGCACGCGCGCUACACUGAUGCAUUCAACGAGUCUAAAACCUGCUCUGAUAGGGGUGGGUAAUCUUUUGAAUGUGCAUCGUGAUUGGGAUAGAUGAUUGCAAUUUUUCAUCUUCAACGAGGAAUGCCUAGUAAACACAAGUCAUCAGCUUGCAUUGAUUACGUCCCUGCCCUUUGUACACACCGCCCGUCGCUCCUACCGAUUGAAUGAUCCGAUGAAUAUCAUGGAUUGAGGAUGCAAGUAGGUUAGCCUAUCUUCAUCUUCGAGAAGUGAAGUAAAUCUUAUCAUUUAGAGGAAGGAGAAGUCGUAACA
rnacentral:rRNA from 1 species